CUCUACUAUACUCACAGCCUGCACUUCCUGUUUGGUGAUACCGGACUCCAGAGAUCUAGUGACCAUUACAGGGAUGAAUCUGAUGUGAAGAUGAGGUUUCCAAAUAAGAACCUCCUGUCACGAGGAUGCAAACAUCCAUGACACCACCACCAGUCUUCAGGCAACCGCAAGAACAGUAUGCUCCCAGGCAUGAGCAUGCCACUGCCAUUGACAUAUAACCCCUGGCAAGAUUCCUGGCCAGAGCAAUAUCCUUCCUUUGGCUUUGAG